rnacentral:rRNA from 1 species
GACGAACGCUGGCGGCGUGCUUAACACAUGCAAGUCGAGCGGAAAGGCCCUUUCGGGGGUACUCGAGCGGCGAACGGGUGAGUAACACGUGAGUAAUCUGCCCUUGGCUUUGGGAUAACUACCGGAAACGGUGGCUAAUACCGGAUAUGACCAUGCUCGGCAUCGGGUGUGGUGGAAAGUUUUUUCGGCCAGGGAUGUGCUCGCGGCCUAUCAGCUUGUUGGUGGGGUAAUGGCCUACCAAGGCUUCGACGGGUAGCCGGCCUGAGAGGGUGACCGGCCACACUGGGACUGAGACACGGCCCAGACUCCUACGGGAGGCAGCAGUGGGGAAUAUUGGACAAUGGGCGGAAGCCUGAUCCAGCAACGCCGCGUGAGGGAUGACGGCCUGGUGUAACUACUUCUAGUACCGACGAAGACGCCGACUGAUGGUGGUGGACGGUAGGUACGAGAAGAAGACACCGGCC